GGGAUAUAAAAAUAUAUAUGUAAGAAAACUAUUUAACCUCAUAGACUAACCUUGUAUACGGUACAUUCUAACUGUAAGAAAGACUCUGACAUUGAUGCCUAGUCCCGCCCCCUUCACGUGCAGUUCAGUUAAGUUCUACUUGGAGCAGGGAGCACAUACUCUGCUCCAGUUGAGUUAUUAUUACCUCAGGAUGAUUGCAUGUGAGAAGUUUGUGUGCGUGCCUUUCCACCAAACCACACACAACUGAGGCUCAUGCCCAUGUAAUUCAUCUGUGAAGUUUAAUAAAGAAACUAAAGGGAGACAACUGCUUCUAACUGCUUCAUGGUGUUCUAACCGACGCCCCCCAUACAACACAACAUCCCAACAAAUCAGAACCAGCGCAAUACAGUCCUUUAGUGAUCCUCACCAACACUAACAAUAUAUUUCUAAAGUUUUGAGUCAUUCCCGUUCAUUUGAAGCGUAAUUUCCCCCUUACUGUGGCUAGUUUGGAUGAGAUGACUUGACCCUAGCUAGCAUAACAUAUAUGGCAGCUAGCUCUACACUAUUUCGGGCAUUCGUUAACAAUCAGUGUUCAGAUAACUAGCGCAAACGUGCCGAGAUAUCGUGUUUAUUAUAAAAAAAAAAUAAACGCUUGUGUUGUGCCAUGGCUUAUAUGGUGAUGACGUUUGAAAUUGUAAAUUUACGGGCCACAGAUGUGUCUAUGGUAAGGCCGACCUGACGAGAUAGCUGCCUACUGAGGUUUGAUUGGAUAUGGACAUUGUUUAUUUCAGAAGGAAAAUGUUUGGAGUGGAAUUGUUUGGAAGACAAUCUUGGGACAAUUUUGCUCUUUGGGUCUUUGUGCCAACCAUGCCAGCUAUCGUAGGGUGCUCUGGGAACUUCUUAGAUCUGUUUACUGUAUGUACACUUACUGAAAUAAGCAUUUUGUUUACAUAAAAUCCCUUGUCAUUUCACCACUAGGUUUGAAACCCAGACAGCACGAAGCAUCUUGCCGACGUCAAAAUCAGAUCAACAGACAGGGACAUCAGCCUUCUCUUGGGAAUAGGCCAGAUAUGCCAUAACAAGAAAUGGUGUUUUGCCCCUGCGGUUGUGAAGAGGAUGCUGUGGAGGUGGCAGCAUGAACGUGUCACACAGACAUUGGCUAAACUACUCGGCUUCUACACUUGCCCUCAGAGUUCACAUAUGGUGAAGUGCACAGGUGUCCAGUCAGGUUCAGACUGAUGCUGGUAACAAGAGGAAAACAUUCUAAUUGAUGACCUUUCCAGCAUGUCCAACUCAUCAGCAUCAGGGGAGGAGAGUCGGUGAAGGUGGUGCACCAUCCAGGACCAGUCAUGGGCCACCAACACCUCUGCAAAAUCUGCACUUCUUGUGAACCCUCUAGAAGACACUACAACCACAAAACUGCUAAUAAACCAUCACAUACUACAUCA